GUCUACAGCCAUACCAACUCUGAACAUGCCCCAUCUUGGAUGAUCUUGGAAGCUAAGCAGGGUCAGGCCUGGUUAGUACUUGGAUGGGAGGCUGCCUGGGAAUACUGGGUGCUGUAGGCU
rnacentral:rRNA from 1 species